CAAAAUAUAGUUUAAUAAAAUCACCUCGCUUACACCGAGGAAAUGUUUGUGCAACCCAAACUGUUUUGAG
rnacentral:tRNA from 1 species